GGGCCUCAGCUGAACAGAGGCCGGUGGUCUGGACCCCGAGGGGACCGGCUGGCCUCAGGCCCUAGUCCCGCAUCCUGAACACACUGUCUGCUGUUGUCAGCCUUUGCACAUUUACUCGAGGAGAUCCCCCAGCCGCCGUCUUCUGAGACGUGCUGACUGUGUUCAACUCACGCUUGUGAGUGUCGUCUGUGUUAAAGAGCACAUCGAAGACGGGUCUUCCCUGCUGUGCACAGUUCAAACACCACACCUUGUUCACCUAUGUGAUGAUUAUCCAUCCCACAUGCUUGUUUGUUUGUUUUGUCUGUGAACGGUGCUUCUGUGAACAUGCGGGUGUUGAGAUGGUUAAACGACUCUAUCUAUGAGCCAUCUCUCUAUCCACCAACUAUCUGUCUAGGCAUCUGUCUUUCUCCAGCACCUGGCAGACAGUAAGAGCCACCUAGAGACAUGGAACCAGCGCCAGAGAGAUGUGAGGAGAGCAAGAGGAAGAGACAGCAAGUGUCUGCUCUAGUGACAUGAAGCACCGGCUCCACGGGGCACGUCUGCAUGACAGUGUCAGACCCGCUCCAGAGAGGCCAAAGGAGAAGCACCUGUGGGGGGGCCUGGGACGCAGCUGCCACCACCCUCCCACCCUCC
rnacentral:lncRNA from 1 species